rnacentral:rRNA from 1 species
CGAAGCAACGCGAAGAACCUUACCAGGCCUUGACAUGCAGAGAACUUUCCAGAGAUGGAUUGGUGCCUUCGGGAACUCUGACACAGGUGCUGCAUGGCUGUCGUCAGCUCGUGUCGUGAGAUGCUGGGUUAAGUCCCGUAACGAGCGCAACCCUUGUCCUUAGUUACCAGCACGUUAUGGUGGGCACUCUAAGGAGACUGCCGGUGACAAACCGGAGGAAGGUGGGGAUGACGUCAAGUCAUCAUGGCCCUUACGGCCUGGGCUACACACGUGCUACAAUGGUCGGUACAAAGGGUUGCCAAGCCGCGAGGUGGAGCUAAUCCCAUAAAACCGAUCGUAGUCCGGAUCGCAGUCUGCAACUCGACUGCGUGAGGUCGGAAUCGCUAGUAAUCGUGAAUCAGAAUGUCACGGUGAAUACGUUCCCGGGCCUU